CCCCCUAAUAGCAGAAUGGUAAUUGGUGAAUAUUUAGCGAUUUUUCCCCCCGAUGGAUAGCAGAAUAGGGCUAGUUAUACGAUUGGGAAUCUUAUUCUGCAGAAAGAUAACCAAUUUACUUACGCUGUUGUUCAUUAUGUUGCCUUAGCAGUUCCUCCACAUUGCUUUUGAAUGAUUCAUCUCCACUUUGGUUGUUAAGAAUUUCGGAUAUGCUCUUAUUCAUUUCUUAACUUGCUUCAGCUGCAUCUUCCAAUUCCAUUAAAAAAAUAAAAACAAAAAUUAUAACCCAUCUGAAUUACGAUUUAAUUUUAAAACAUUCAUACCUUUUCUAAAGAAACAACUUGAUCCUCCAGGCUCCAGCUUAGCUUUGGCUUAGUUUUGUAUGAGGCCAGUGAGCUUCGUUCAGCAUGUAGUUUAGCAAUAGCAAUUAAUUGGCUCUCCUUGCGACAUUGCGAAAGACAGGUAGUAGCCAAAUAUUAGUAGUAGAUAAGCAGUUGGUGAUGUUAACAUACCACAGAGUACAUCAAAUAGUUCGACAAUUCUUUGGGAUACAUUUUCAAAGAAAUUCGUUUCCUCUUGAUGUAUAAAGCUUUGAAGUAGCACACUUGAUCCACAAUUAGUUUUUUUUUUCACAAAACUCUUCUUGGUUUUGCAUCAAAAGUUUUUCUUGUUGCGGAAUGGCACGAUGUUGUUGCAUUGUUGCAUAUUCCGUGAUGGUAUUCCCCAUGGAGGUAGAUACCCAUCGUAAUCGUAGCCCCAGGGGCGGUGAAAACCAAAUGUCGGUAGAUUGAAGUUUUGCAGAUGCAUUCCCUGGUAGUAUGGAGGAGGCUGCUGAUGCUGUGGAGGUGGUUGGGAAUGUUGUUGUGGAGUAAUCAUCUGAGAAGGUGGCUGAUGGUGCGGUUGCUGCGGUGGAUGUUUCUGCUGAGGCGGAAGUCCUUGCUGAUGUUGUGGAGAUUGAAAUACAAUUUUUAGGUAACUCGUACAUAUAAAAAUAUUACUAUAGUACUUACUUUAUCAUCACUUAAAUCAUCAGUUCAAACCAGAGUGUAGUGAUAAUACCAUCUCAUAGUUGGUCAUAUCGCUAAACGCCAAAUUCAUUUCUUCACCGACGACUUUAAUAUUUAAAUCAUAUUAAGUAUUCAUUUUCAUUUUCAUUUUGUGGAACUUUUCAAGAGUUCAUUUAAUUUAAAUUUAAAAUUUGCAAAACAAAAGCAUCAAAAAGCAAACAUAAAAUAAAGUUUCUCAAAUUUGAAGUUUUAGCAGUAUGAAUGGGUGCGUUCAAUCACCUUUAGGAGGUACGUUCUUUUUCUAACAAAAGUCAACUAUGGUUGUUAUGUCAAAAAAUGUUGUUGAAAUUUCUUUGUUGAAUUAGUUGGGUUCUUUUUUAUAAAUCAUUUAGGAACGAUUUAUUGUAAGAUAUAUUUCAAACUGUCAAACCACUUGACAGUUUAUGUGCAUUAUUAAAACAAAAACUCAUGUUUUUUAUUCAAAAUAAAUUCUCUCGCGUCAUAAAAUUACAAAACUCUCUUCUUAUUUUUAUUUUUUCCGCUUAUUUCCAAAAGAAAAACAUUUUUAAGUUUUUUUUUGUAAACAAAACAUCCACUUUGACACAUCAACAACCUAAUGAUUGUUCAACUCAUAUCAUGGAGGUGAGUUGGAAAUAGUUAUGUCGAAUUCCCUUCUUUCCAGAAGAACAAUUGUCUUCCGACUCCAAUAAAACAUUUUCAGAAGCAUUGGGAAGAUACAAAUAGAUACAAAUCGGAUCCAUUUUGGCUACGUUCUAGUACCCCUUGUAAAAGAACGACAAAAGUUAACGAAAGUUAAUAAUAGUUAACUAUUGUUUGAAAAAGAACGCACUUCGGUGGACUGCGUUGAACGCUGUUAAUUUAUUUUCUUUUGUACCUAUCAAUUGUUUGUCAAAUAGAAGUGAAAAAGAAAAUGAUAAAUUCCAUCAAAAACGAAAAAAAAUAAAUUUAUCAAAGCUGCAAUGUGCCUUGUUUACUAGGAAUUCGUUCCAUUCAUUGUACCCUCGAAGAAAAUCAUCAACGUCGACCACACCAUUCACGUCACAGAAAUAGCAGUCAAGUCGAGAUGAUACUGCUGCUGCCAAUACUGGUGCCUCCGUUUCAACACCAGAAGCAUCAGCAGCAUAACCUCUACACUAACAUCAAGUCAAUAAUCAUUCGUGGAGGACAGUAUCAAUAAUUCAAUGAGCUCUGAAAAACGCAAAGAAGAAUGUUUCCCACAAAUUCAAGGAACGCAUGGGAAUACACUUUUUGAUGCUUUUCAAACUUAAAUGGAAUAAUUUUUAUAGUGGUUAAGAAGAAGAAUAUUGUCAACUUUUCAUGAGUCUCGAAGAUUUCAAAGAGGAGACAAAAAACAAUUCGCAGCUCAGGAAAUUACUUUGGCUAAAAUAAUCAACGAUAAUACAGCCAGCCAUCAAUUAGGAAAUAGGUGAUCCAAAAAAACGAAACCGAUAAUCUGAAAACUCCAUUGGCGAAAAGUUCACUGACACUAAACAACUUCUUAACUCCUUGACUGUUCUAGACAAUGAAUGCAAAGAAUCAAUCCCACACCGGGUUUUGGCUGAAAAAAGGUGCCUACGAUAUAAUCAUUACGCUACUCGAACAAGAAUUCUCUUCAUCCAAUCCAGAUAAAGAAAAUCUUUACUGAUUGUGUUUGUACAGCAAUCGUUGACCAAUCAACAACCGAAUCUCUACGACGAAGAAGUCCUGGCCAUUCCUUCAUUCUUUAUUUAAUAAGAUGUCUUGUUGUUGAUGCUCGGGUUUUUUCAUUCAACAAUAAAGUUUUCGUUAGAAACAUUUUGUUCAUGAAUCAUUGAGUUCAAUGAUUAAAAAAUAAGUAAAUAUAGUGCAAAAAGAUAACAAA